UUCCUGUAGCUCAGAGCAAGUAGU
rnacentral:piRNA from 1 species